rnacentral:rRNA from 1 species
AACGUAGGACGCGAGCGUUAUCCGGAGUUACUGGGCGUAAAGCGCGGGCAGGCGGUCUGACAAGUCUGAUGUGAAAUCUCCGGGCUUAACCGGGAGAGGCCAUUGGAAACUGACAGGCUGGAGGGCAGUAGAGGUAGGCGGAAUUCCGGGUGGAGUGGUGAAAUGCGUAGAGAUCCGGAGGAAGACCGGUGGCGAAGGCGGUCUGCUGGGCAGUUUCUGACACUGAUGCGCGACAGCGUGGGGAGCAAACAGG